GGUUGAGAGGAGAAGGAGUGCACAAAACAUGGAUGGUUCUUGGCAUGAAUGCUGAAAACUUUGAAGUCUGAAGGGACUUGGGUGUCUGCCUAAGCCAAAUAACAAGUCUGGGAGAAGGGAAGAGAGUUUUGUAUGCAGAUUUGGCCAACAGCUUCUAUGUGAGGAGAAGACCAGUGGAAAAGAAAAUAAGAAGCCAAAGGAAGAUACAGAAUGUCAAUGUACUUCGUGCUGUGACCCAGUGGCCAGGAGGAUGUUUUGGCUGGAAAAGGAAACUGCAAUGGAUAACUUCAGAAAGUUCAGUCUCCUCUCUUGAGAUCUCCAGGAGUGAAUUUCUAACUUAAAAGUAAAGGAAAGACGAAUGGAGGAUUCUGUCCCCAGUUUCCCAAACCAUUCUUGAUAUUCAGAAUGAAUGGAAAUUGAAGAAUUCCUCCUCAUAGGAAGAUCAAGGGACAGGAUAUAGUCCUGGUCGGCAGUGGAACUGAAAAUAAGCUUACUCAUUUAAGGAGUACAAUGGACAUAGUUGCUACAUAACACCUUCAGUUGUGACCUUGAAGAGCAAUCCUUCUGGAUUCAAAGGACAUUCUUUCACAAUGAAAAACCUGGAGACAGUUUUGGUAAACUAUGGAAGAGCACAAAUAUAAGAACUAUGAUCACCAUGGGUGCUGUGGGAGAAAGCCUGGGUCUUUUCUUUAAAGGAGGUGAGAAUACUGUUGAAAUAAACACAAUAAUUAAUGCUGUGUCAUGGGGCUCCUGGAGGGGGUUGGGUGGCAGAUGUCAGAAACACAUGGACAUCUCCCAAGUGAACAGCUAGAGAUAUUAAAAAAGAAAAACAAUUGAGGGUCAUAACCUGACAGGUAAUCAAGAAAUUGAAAUGUCUGAAGAAUGACAAAACUUUGAGACCAGAUGGGAUCCAGCAUGCUGGAAAAAUAUGGCAUUCAGGGACACGGGGGAAAGAGUAAUCACUUUAGUGCCCUGCAGAUUUAUAAUGUAUAUCCAUAACAGUAGCACCUGUGUAUGCAAGUGCACUGUACAAAUUAAUUUCAUCACUUAUGACUUCU